AAUACUUUUAGAUCUGUGUUGGUUUUGUGAUUAUUUUAAUGUUCUGUGAGAUUUAUAGAGAAAACGUAAUUUCUGUUUCAUAAUUAGGGCUUUUUGUUUGAUCUAAUCGGUUACUGAAUUAUGGUUUUGUUUGUAAGGAGAAUCCGAUUGCAAGCUCACCGGCGAAGGAAGCAUACAGGAAUCGGCUGGCGGACAGCCUCAACAUGGGAGUUAUGGAUUGGUUUGAUCCAAUUGCUGAUUCGACUACUAGCCAUCUCGAUCUGAUUCCCCACAUGGUUUAGGGGAGAAGUUUAAAACAACAGGACUAUGGAAGGAUAUACGGUGCUACAUUGACAGUCAACUCUACGGUUUGUAGGUUGAAGUUUGCUUAACACGCUUCAACCGUCGAACUUGGUGCACCUCAAU